CCGAACCACAGCAGGAGAGGAUGGACAUGGAUAGUUUCCUCGACGAAGACGCCCCUUGCCCUGCAAAGAAAAAUACAUGUUAAAGGUAAACUGAGUGGCUCCAUCAGUUUUACUUGGCCCAGUACAGCCAGCCUCUUUCCCUUCACCAUUCACAGAACAGUAUGCCUCUGCAAUGCCAACAGAGGUCUUUUCCUUUGCACCCGAGGUUGAUUCCGGAGGCUGAAGAUGUAACUCACACCCUGGUGGCUGUGUGCCGGAACGGACUGCUACAACAACUCUGGCAUGAAAGGAGGACCUUACGCUGUCUACUGGUGUGCUGUGCUUCUUGUCCCAUAUCCUUCUACAUGAUCCUCCUGAGUGUAGCCCAUGGUCAUCUUAUGAGUCUGAAAGUUUAGCUAAGCCAACAGAUCCUCUCUCCAUCAUGUUGGGUGUUACAACAAUAAACUGAAUAGAUGAAUUUGGGAAGAACUGACAACCCUUAUAAA